CUAAGUGCUAGCAGUACUUUGAUGUCUAGCAGAGCCUAGAGACCUUUGUGAAUUAGGCCCCUGAUCUUUUGUUUAGAAGUAACCUAAGUGCUAGCAGUACUUUGAUGUCUAGCAGAGCCUAGAGACCUUUGUGAAUUAGGCCCCUGAUCUUUUGUUUAGAAGUAGCCUAAGUGCUAGCAGUACUUUGAUGUCUAGCAGAGCCUAGAGACCUUUGUGAAUUAGGCCCCUGAUCUUUUGUUUAGAAGUAGCCUAAGUGCUAGCAGUACUUUUGCUUGACCAAAUUUCAGAUUAAUUAUGUAUGACAUAAAAUGGCUAUAGUUUAAAAUGUUCCUUAUUGUUUGUUUUUCCGUUGUAUUCAAAUCCUCCUUUUUUUCUCUUUUUUUUUUUAAUCAGCUCCUCCGUUGGUCAUGUUUUAUUUUUUAGUUCACUGAAUAAAAGCUGUUAAAAUGUAACAUGAUUUUUGUUGAUAAAUAGAUCAAUGCUUUUCAUAGGUCAAUGCUUGUCAUGUUUGUUAAUUUAUUUUCCUUUUUAUCUCGUCUUGACAAUACAGUUAUUACUUUUUAUCUCGUCUUGACAAUACAGUUAUUACUUUUUAUCUCGUCUUGACAAUACAGUUAUUACUUUUUAUCUCGUCUUGACAAUACAGUUAUUACUUUUUAUCUGAUGAUUAUGAUGGUGGUGUGUCACCUUUUGUGUUUAGCUCCAAUAAUAAGUAUUCACAUUUGGGCUCCCAUUUCUCAAAUCUAUACGUCCUAAAACAGUGAAACUUUUUAUAUAGUUGCAUCUAUAUAUGUCCAUCUCGAUGCAUUUAAAUGUUGUUUUUAAAUAAAAAUAUUAGAUUGAUCAUGACUGUUACAUUACAAAUUAUUUAUUCAUCGAAUUGGUUUAUAGUACAUGAGGCAUUAAGUUCCUCUGAAUUCUUCUUUAUUUUAAGGUUUAUUUUACAUUUACCUGCUACAUAUAGAAUACUAAAUGAGUUUGCCUGUCAUACCAUUUUUAUAAAACUUGUGAAAAUGUUUGGUAUCUGACGAACGAAAGCAAGUCAGAUACUCUGUUUACGAGUUUCAUAAAAAUGUUAUGACAGGCAAAAUUGUUUAGUAUUUUAUUUAUUACAAACCAACUGCAAACAAGCCGCAACGCAGAAGUAAGCAGAUGUUGAGACCUAUUUUCUUCAAAUUGGGUCAGCAAGCUCACAAAUGCCAAUAUUACACUAGUAUCUAACAAUUGAGUUAUUGUUAUGACAUGAGCAAUAUAUUACACUGCUGUGUAAUAAAAUUGAUAUAAUUAUGUCUGUAUUAAAAUAUGCUUAAUGAUUCUCACUCAAAAUUAUAUUGUGUACAUAAAUAUUUUAUUUUAUUAAAAACAAUAUUUUAUAAAAAGUUUAGCUUUUUUAUAUUAACAUGUACAUAUUUAAAUAAAUGUUUAUUAUAAAUU